rnacentral:rRNA from 1 species
GUCCACGCCGUAAACUAUGAGGACUAGCUGUUGGGUACAUUAAAGUAUCAAGUAGCGAAGCUAACGCGAUAAGUUCUCCGCCUGGGGAGUACGGCCGCAAGGCUAAAACUCAAAGGAAUUGACGGGGGCCCCGCACAAGCGGUGGAGCAUGUGGUUUAAUUCGACGCAACGCGAAAACCUUACCUACCCUUGACAUCCUUAGAAUCCUGUAGAGAUACGGGAGUGCUUCGGAACUAAGAGACAGGUGCUGCAUGGCUGUCGU